rnacentral:rRNA from 2 species
GACGAACGCUGGCGGCGUGCCUAAUACAUGCAAGUCGAACGAACUCUGGUAUUGAUUGGUGCUUGCAUCAUGAUUUACAUUUGAGUGAGUGGCGAACUGGUGAGUAACACGUGGGAAACCUGCCCAGAAGCGGGGGAUAACACCUGGAAACAGAUGCUAAUACCGCAUAACAACUUGGACCGCAUGGUCCGAGUUUGAAAGAUGGCUUCGGCUAUCACUUUUGGAUGGUCCCGCGGCGUAUUAGCUAGAUGGUGAGGUAACGGCUCACCAUGGCAAUGAUACGUAGCCGACCUGAGAGGGUAAUCGGCCACAUUGGGACUGAGACACGGCCCAAACUCCUACGGGAGGCAGCAGUAGGGAAUCUUCCACAAUGGACGAAAGUCUGAUGGAGCAACGCCGCGUGAGUGAAGAAGGGUUUCGGCUCGUAAAACUCUGUUGUUAAAGAAGAACAUAUCUGAGAGUAACUGUUCAGGUAUUGACGGUAUUUAACCAGAAAGCCACGGCUAACUACGUGCCAGCAGCCGCGGUAAUACGUAGGUGGCAAGCGUUGUCCGGAUUUAUUGGGCGUAAAGCGAGCGCAGGCGGUUUUUUAAGUCUGAUGUGAAAGCCUUCGGCUCAACCGAAGAAGUGCAUCGGAAACUGGGAAACUUGAGUGCAGAAGAGGACAGUGGAACUCCAUGUGUAGCGGUGAAAUGCGUAGAUAUAUGGAAGAACACCAGUGGCGAAGGCGGCUGUCUGGUCUGUAACUGACGCUGAGGCUCGAAAGUAUGGGUAGCAAACAGGAUUAGAUACCCUGGUAGUCCAUACCGUAAACGAUGAAUGCUAAGUGUUGGAGGGUUUCCGCCCUUCAGUGCUGCAGCUAACGCAUUAAGCAUUCCGCCUGGGGAGUACGGCCGCAAGGCUGAAACUCAAAGGAAUUGACGGGGGCCCGCACAAGCGGUGGAGCAUGUGGUUUAAUUCGAAGCUACGCGAAGAACCUUACCAGGUCUUGACAUACUAUGCAAAUCUAAGAGAUUAGACGUUCCCUUCGGGGACAUGGAUACAGGUGGUGCAUGGUUGUCGUCAGCUCGUGUCGUGAGAUGUUGGGUUAAGUCCCGCAACGAGCGCAACCCUUAUUAUCAGUUGCCAGCAUUAAGUUGGGCACUCUGGUGAGACUGCCGGUGACAAACCGGAGGAAGGUGGGGAUGACGUCAAAUCAUCAUGCCCCUUAUGACCUGGGCUACACACGUGCUACAAUGGAUGGUACAACGAGUUGCGAACUCGCGAGAGUAAGCUAAUCUCUUAAAGCCAUUCUCAGUUCGGAUUGUAGGCUGCAACUCGCCUACAUGAAGUCGGAAUCGCUAGUAAUCGCGGAUCAGCAUGCCGCGGUGAAUACGUUCCCGGGCCUUGUACACACCGCCCGUCACACCAUGAGAGUUUGUAACACCCAAAGUCGGUGGGGUAACCUUUUAGGAACCAGCCGCCUAAGGUGGGACAGAUGAUUAGGGUGAAGU